UGGUGACUAUAGCAAGGAGGUCACACCUGUUCCCAUGCCGAACACAGAAGUUAAGCUCCUUAGCGUCGAUGGUAGUCGAAGCCGCAUUGAGACCGCAAGGUCUCUUUUU
rnacentral:rRNA from 1 species